UGGCAGGAAACAUGAUUUUACGGU
rnacentral:siRNA from 1 species